rnacentral:rRNA from 1 species
UACGGGGGGGGCAAGCGUUGUUCGGAAUUACUGGGCGUAAAGGGCGCGUAGGCGGCCUGCUAAGUCGGAUGUGAAAUCCCUCGGCUCAACCGAGGAACUGCAUCCGAUACUGGCGGGCUUGAAUCCGGGAGAGGGAUGUGGAAUUCCAGGUGUAGCGGUGAAAUGCGUAGAUAUCUGGAGGAACACCGGUGGCGAAGGCGGCGACCUGGGCCAAUACUGACACUGAGGUGCGAAAGCGUGGGGAGCAAACAGG